UACGUAGGGCGCAAGCGUUGUCCGGAAUUAUUGGGCGUAAAGAGCUCGUAGGCGGCUCAGAAAGUCGGGUGUGAAACCUCCAGGCUCAACCUGGAGACGCCACCUGAUACUGCUGUGGCUAGAGUCCGGUAGGGGAACACGGAAUUCCCGGUGUAGCGGUGAAAUGCUUAGAUAUCGGGAGGAACACCAGUGGCGAAGGCGGUGUUCUGGGCCGGAACUGACGCUGAGGAGCGAAAGCGUGGGUAGCAAACAGG
rnacentral:rRNA from 1 species